rfam:Paracoccus sediminis strain DSM 26170 genome assembly, contig: Ga0170460_131
CCUAUGGGGAUCCGCGAUCUCCCCACGAGGCGACAGCCGAAGCUCGCGUUCCACCUCAACCUUGUUUCCAAGGAGGAACGCAGAUG